AAUCAACGCUGGCGGCGUGCCUAACACAUGCAAGUCGAACGCGAAAGUCCCGCAAGGGAUGAGUAGAGUGGCAAACGGGUGAGUAACGCGUGGGUGACCUGCCUUCGAGCGGGGGAUAACGUCCCGAAAGGGACGCUAAUACCGCAUAACAUCCUGCUUUUUAACAAGCGGAGAUCAAAGCUGGGGAUCGCAAGACCUAGCACUUGAAGAGGGGCCCGCGUCUGAUUAGCUAGNGGUGAGGUAACGGCUCACCAAGGCGACGAUCAGUAUCCGGCCUGAGAGGGCGGACGGACACACUGGAACUGAGACACGGUCCAGACUCCUACGGAGGCAGCAGUGGGGAAUUUUUCGCAAUGGGGGCAACCCUGACGAAGCAACGCCGCGUGGGGAUGAAGGUCUUCGGAUUGUAAACCCCUGUCGACCGGGACGAAUGUAGAACGGCCUAAUACGCCGAGCUAUUGACUGUACCGGUGGAGGAAGCCACGGCUAACUCUGUGCCAGCAGCCGCCGCA
rnacentral:rRNA from 1 species